GGGAUGGCUUGAAAAGGGUGGUGUGGAUGAUACUGGCUGCACUGUUGGAGCUUGGACUCGGAGAGGAACAUGUGAGCACAAUCCUGAUGAUGAGCCUGGCAAUUGACUAAGCUGACAAUCGGUGCCUGUGCAUUUCUUGAGGCGGUGGGACUUUGCCAUCCAGCAACUUGAGAGCUAAGUUGGGGGGCACCUGGUAUUUGCAUAUCUGGGGUGGCCAAUGGGAGCUGGGAGGCAGAGCAGCAUGGAGCCAGCUGGCUGAAUAGACUUGGAGCCACUGUGAGGGUGGUUCAGGCU